UACGGAGGGGAGCUAGCGUUGUUCGGAAUUACUGGGCGUAAAGCGCACGUAGGCGGCUUUGUAAGUUAGAGGUGAAAGCCCGGGGCUCAACUCCGGAAUUGCCUUUAAGACUGCAUCGCUAGAAUUGUGGAGAGGUAAGUGGAAUUCCGAGUGUAGAGGUGAAAUUCGUAGAUAUUCGGAAGAACACCAGUGGCGAAGGCGACUUACUGGACACAU
rnacentral:rRNA from 1 species